AAAAAAAAAAAAAAAAAAAAAGCGCCUGAGGUCUAACGAUUUAACAUUAAGCGGUAGUUUCAAGAUGAAUGCUGGAAACUGAAGAAAUCCCUCUUAGGUAUUUAUGUGGUUUAAAGACUAAGUGAACUGCAUAUUUCCGUUUAGUAAAUCUGUGGUCAACUUGAUCACUUUAAUAUGGCAGCUGAGGUGGCAGGAGAAGGAAGUGAAGAGAUUUAUUGAAAAACCAUCAACUUAAAUAUGUAUCAGACCACAGAAAGUUUCUUAAGUCCCCGAAGGCCACUUUUGCUUUUUUUUCCUGGCCACAUAGGUUUUUUUGGUUUUGUUUUUUUUUGUAACAUGUCUAGCUUAAAUAGCAAAUAAUGAGUGAUAAUAACAACCAGCUGGUUUCCAUAGAAUAGAAAGUGACUGACAGAGCAGCUGCCAUUCUGCUUUCUCUCACUUCCCUUGUCAGAGCUUCAAAGUGUCUGUUUAAUGUGGUAUAUUAGCAGCACUAUUAUGCCUAUAAAUAUUAAACCCUAAAUCUUCAUGAGGAGCCCUGCUGAGCAGCAAUUUGAUUUCUGGGGAUGCGAUUUUCCAAUGAAGCUCCCAUCAGAGCUACAGAGAGUAUUUCCUUGUCAGAACUGAACAAGAUGACAUGUGGGGCAUGUUCUACUGCUUCUGAGUUUUCUGACUCCUCCAAGAAAAUCAGCAUUACACUUGAGAUCACUGCAGCCCUUCAAGAUGCUGGAUUCUCUGGAAGGAAAGAAACCCUGGAGAAAAGUCACAGAAGACCUGGGUAAUCCCUGAAGCUGUCCAUGCUGAUGCCAGGAUUAGGUGUGCAAGGAGGGAAUGAAGACCAGAAAGGGCUGCAGCAUGGAGGAUUUGGAUCUCCCCCAAGACUCCCACUAAGAGGAGAGACAAGAGCCUUCCUUACUUAACAAUAAUAACUUACUUAUACUUACCUCCCCAGAGUGUUGUGAGGCUUAAUUAGUUAAUGUUUGCAAAGUGCUUUGCAGAUGUGGAGAGCAAUAUAUGUACUAAGUAUUAUUAACUGGCAUAAGAAUUCCACGUGAGAAGUCCCUACAGUCUAUUAGAACUAAAUUAUUCAGUGAGUUCCCUAAAAUUGUGGGGCAACGUACAGAGAGGUCUCUCUCAGAAACACUAUAAGUCCACUUUCACAGCUUCCCUGUGCUUCAUACCCCAAGGCCAUGGAUCAAAAAUUGUCUCUGAUCUCCUGGCACUACAUCCCAAGACAAGCCAGGAGGAGAAGGUCUUAUGAGAGCCCAGCUGGACCAAAGGGACCUGAACAGAGGGUUGUCUGCUCUCCACCAAGCUAAGGACAGGUUUUCGGUUUGUGACAAGGUUACAGUUUGAAUUGUACCCUGAUACCUUUCCUGAGAUGCUUCUCCUGAGUGGGAUACUUGGGAGAUCUGCUUCUAAGCCAGCCCAGAGUUUGCUAUCCCAUGUCUGCUGGACAACUGCAGAUGCCAAAAUGGAGCAAUAAAUGGUUGCGUGACUUACAGAAUGAUUGCUAUGUUUUUAUACUAAAUACGUAAGCUGAAUACUAUGCACACGAUUGACAAGUUGGAAAUCUUCAGCCGACAAAACCAAAUAAAACAACAAAAAUGUCUGAGACACAGUUCUUCAGACACUAUGGAAACUAAAAGUCAUAUGAUGUAUUGCUGUUUAAUGUUCCAUUUAAUGUCCAGCACAAUGGGAAUUGCUUGUAUGAUUCUUGAUUACAAAUGUAUGAUCUCUUAUUCUUUUUAUUCCUGCAUUUUCCUGUUUUUAUUUCUUUUACCUGCAUACUAGUUUUCCAGAUUAAUUAUCCAGUUGGCUAUGUACAAUUUUAUCUCACAUCCAUACACUAGAAGAUUUUCUGGCAUCUGAAAAGUGCAGUGAUAUAAAAAUAGGGCAUUCAAAUAGCUGAGAUUACUUUUCCUAUACUGGACUCAUCAUGAACGAGGUGCGUGUAGCUCAAUACUUGUGUCCCAGUGCAGCUCACUCCUGAGGUUAUAGUCAGAUGUACCCGAAGUUUCCUGGUUCCUGCUUGUGCUGCAGAAACUCUGGCUCCCCCAAGUGGACUUAGUACUCUCUCCUCCCUCUGCCCCCUCGGUGGCUGUGGACAGUCAUUUUUUUCCCACUCAUCAUGACUGUCCACUUGAGGCUACACCCAGGAGAGAGGUAUCUCUCCAGUCCCUGGCGAAGAGGACAUGCUAGCAAAUGGAGUAAGCGUCUUUUGUUAUGCCUCAACCAAGGGAGUAAUAGAUAUACACACACCAGCAGCCUUUAUCCUGUUUCUCUGUAGCCGUGGAAAAGACCAGCACAUAGCCAACCUGCUGUGGCAAGUCCCCCAGCACUGCAGGUAGAUAAGCGUGUGUGAGAUAUCUCAGCCUAACAUUGCACUAUUGGUGAAACACAGUAGCAAGUAUUGAGCACCUAACUCUACUGAGUGCCCACGAACUAUACAUAAAAUAAAGGCGAGACUUUGGAGGCCUUCCCAAAACUAUGUUUACUAAUUCCCUGUUUCAGAUAUCAUGUACGUAGAGGAUAUACAGUGGUUUUAUACCGUACUUCUGGGGACUACAUAUUAAACAUCUGCUUGGAUUGUUUGAAUAAUUGACUAACGAUUGAAGAAACUAUGCAAUAACCAUAUACUGGAAUCAAAUUUUGAAGGAAUUUUAGCCAUAAGUAUAUUGCAAGGUAGAUGUGUGAUGGGUCAAGUUUUAUUUGCCAUAGUUGACCAAAAAAGUGAGCUACAGGUUCCAACAGCACAAUGUUUUUUUCCUGCCGACAAAGACUAUGAGGGGGAUGUUUUGUCCUUCGCACAGAGCUUGCACCAGCAGUGCAGCCAGGGCUGCUUAAUACAGAUACAGAAAACAGUAUGUGUGAGUAGUCUUACUAGGUGGACUUUCUUCUUCAAAUAACUGUACACAUUUCCUUUAGAAACCUAUUUGUUUUAAUAGGUCACCAUAAGCUAAACAGCUGCCACAUCUCCUGUCAAACACAAAGAUGGUUCUUUGUGGUUUUCUCCACUCCAUCUCACUAUAGAUCAAAUGAUGAAGGCUCAUCUUGUAACCAAAAUAAAUGCAAUCAACAUGUACACAUUUUCUAUGAUACUCUAACAUCAUCUGAUAUUAACAAGCCUUGUGGUAACAAACCCUUUUAUGAUGCAUUUAUUCAAGGUUCAUCCUUCUCAAAGAGUGGGGAAUACUUAAUUUGUUUUCUGUGCUGUACUUUGUGUGGCUAAAUAAUUAAUCACAUUGAUAUUCUAUCAAUACAUCUCUUUAAUGGUUAAACAUGUGUUAAUAAUUCAAAUAUCUAUGGGUGACCUCUUUGCACUCCUGUGAUUUUCAAAAACCCCAAUGCUCUUUGAAGGCACUCUAUCAUGAUCAUGUAUGGCGCAAGUUAAAAGCCUUUUGUUCUUUCUUUUCUUUUUUUCUCCCCUCUUCCAUUGCUAUGUGCCUUUUCAUGAGGGGUCCUGCGAGCCAGCAGCAAACAGGGGUUAGUUCUAAGUGGAACAGCAAAGUUCAAGGGUUUUGAAAUGUUGAUGUAGUUGCAAUACUUAAACACAGAGCAACCAUACUGAGUGGGCAGAUGAGUGCUACGCUGCAUCAUACUCAUCUGGCAAAGCUUUUCAAUUGUGAUUAAAUUCAUCAGCUGAGUCUGAAAACCUCAAAACUAGAUGUAUGCCCAAUUCAUGGGUUAUGCAAUUAUGAAUUAUUAGAGUCCAGCAGUCUAAUGAUGCUUCCAAGCCCCAAAAGAAGCUGACUGCUCUAUAACACUAUAGGCUAAAAAUGUGAUUACACAGCUUCUUCCAUACUUCUGCACACACUGCCUGCAAUGACAGCAGUGACAUUUCUGGGCAAACUGAUGACCCUUGUAAUAGAGCUCAGAAACUGCAAAUAUGGAAGUCUUCUCUUACAUUCUGCAAGGAAUUAAUGAGUAAAUCUUUCCCUAGUUUCACUGGAGUGUUUUACACUCAGGUUUUGCACAUUUUACAAGUGAAGAAUAGGGUUAACUUCCCAAAACUUACAGUAGAAGCUUAUAGCAGAGACCAUAAACUGCAAUGGAUAGUCUUGUAUUCAUGAAAACACACUUCCUUGUUAAAGCUAAGAUGACAUGAGAAUUGUUUAUCACCUGGUGAAUCCUCACAUGUAUUGUUGCAGUGGUUUCUCCCAGAGGGUAUGUCACAAACCUUGUUUACUUAAUGCUGUUGAUUCACACAUUUUGGAAAGAGAAGCAGGUUUCUUAAGGAAAGUAAGUUUGAGGACUAAUUCUGGGAAUUCUGGGAGUGUAUUCUUGACCAGCAAAGCUCAUGCACAGCAUUCCCAUCUUUUUCUCCCUUUUCAAAUCCCAUGUUGACAGUGGCUGGCUUAACUUGGACACAGACUGAGGAGUGGCAGCUGGAAAUCAGUUCUGCUAUGUGUAUUGUAUAUUUACCUCUCUCUGGAGAAAGAAUAAUAUGACUGUUUGUACAGAGCUUAUACCAACUUAUACCAUCUAUUAUGGUACUACUUAGCAUCUGUAUGAUGGUAUACACCACCAUACCUCCUAUUCCUGGAAAACACCAAGAAACUUAGGUAGUUAUUCUGAGUCCAGUUCAGGAAAACUAUAAAGCCAGCAUUUUACCGUGUGCUUCAAUGACCUUGUGUUACAACCAAGUGCUUUCUUCCAGAACGAGUGUGCCUUAAGCCAUGCUUGAACCGCAAGGGCCCUGUUGCUGGGUUAGCCCACAGAGGAAAAGGAUUCCACAGUUGAGGUCCCUCUGAUGGGCCUCUGGUAACUACCAGAAUGUUUUACUUGUCAUAACUUACUCUGUGCAACUGAGAAAAGCCUUUGAAAUAGCAAGCUAGUGUCAGGCCGAGAAUAUUAGCUUAACAGAGAGAGCCAGACUCACCACAACAGAAAUUCAGGAUGAGCAAAUGCAAACACACAAACCCCAUGUGCUUUCCUCCCCUCUUCUCGAAGGGGGACACACCUUCUAGCUCAAGACAAUGAACAUGCACUCGGCUGUUGGUCAGCUCAUCACUUUUCAGCAGAAAUUAUCCCAGGAAUUUCAGGUCUUUGUUUUUCUAAAACAACCGCAGCCUGUGUCAGCGAGACAGAGAGACCUUCUUCCAACAACAUAUUGUGACCAAGGGUUUGUAUAACAUACACUAUGCCGUGUGGUCAGAUGACUUGCGGAAACCCUCCUGGUUGUCAGCACCCAGGGAAAAUCAUAUAUCUCUGAAUCUGCACAUACUGAAGGAAUCCAUUCCAAAACAAAACAUAAUUCAAAGUUCAUGGUUUUGAAUACUUGUUUUUUUAUCUGUGCCUGCUUUUAGUAUUUGUAUCUAUCUCCAUGAGGAGAAAAACAAAACAAAACAAACACAUUGCCUUUUUUUUAAGUUAAGUUCUAACACUGUGGGAAAUACUAAUACAAGCAAACAAAGCCACAUGCAACAGCAUUAGAGGUCAAAGUGAAAACAAAACCAUGCCACUUCCAUGCAAAACUCUGGCCCAACAGCACAAGCCCUCCCAAAUAGUAGUUUACAUUAAAUAUUCAUGUCUGGAAGGAGAGAAGGGGCCUUUCUGUAAGGGUGAGGGAGAAUGUUCACAAACCUUUAUUUAACUUCUCA